UUGUGCGCAUGCGCAAGUCGAGAUAGUGCCCCGCUUGUCCCGGCUCGGUUUUUGGCUCACCUAUUGCCUCGCCAAUACUGGCACGGAUACCGCUCCAUAUUGAUUCAUUGCUACCUUGCUACUAACCUUGUUCUUCAUCCUGGCUCUUUCUUCUACUACCGUAAUCGUUCUAAUUAUAGAACCAAUAAAAAAUAAUUAUUUUUCUAGAAACAAUGUACCAAAAAAAAAGAUUUUAUAUGGUGGUAUAAUUAUGGGCGUUAUAAAAAAAGGCGUCCUAACCGAGGCUGUUUCUAUAAUAGGAAUAACCGGAGAGAGUCAUUCAUUCCUGUGACAUAUAUAGGUACUGUAAGUUGCUUUCCGUGAAGCCUUCUGUGUAGUGCUUGACCUGUGACUGAUUCCAGUAUAUACAGUUACAUGUACUGACUACCUUCAGUAUCGCGGAAGUGUAUGUAUGCCUGAGGAUUUUCCCUGGUAUUCCCCCUACUCUAGCAGCGUGUGUUGAAAAAGAAAAUAGAAUUUCGCAUUUCAGUUUCUAUUUAAAAUUCUUAGUUUCAUUUUUGUUCCAGUGCUUAGAUCAAUACUAUAGUCUGUUGUGUGUGGUUAGCUUGCAGCUAUUAUAAUAUAGUUGCAACAGACAUUUUGAUCUCACUCAACCAAGAUGAGCUCACGACGCAUUGUUCUCAAAUUUGUGAUUGCUGUAACCCUGUUGAUAUUAGGAUGUGGUGCUACUUCCACGCCAUGUACCUCUGAAGAGAUAGAAGAUUGCCGUUGCUUCCCUCAGCUUGUCAAGGACGUUAUAACGAACGGUAGAAAUCAGUACAACAUGCAAAAGGCCUUCUUUCCUCCCAACAAAGCAAAUCCUGUGUUUAUUGAGAUUAUGUACUAUUUUUCUCUGAAUGAUCUUGCGAAUGGUAGUACAAACUACUCUGAUACUUCAGUAGGUGAAGCUUGGUAUUGGUCCGAAUCUACAUUCUAUCUUUUUCAACCAAUUGAGUCUCUUCAGUUCACAUCUCUACUAUUCACGGACAACCAACUGCGAAAGGAAUUUUUAACUCUCUAUAUGCCACGUAACUGCUACAAAGAGAAUGACAUUGAAAGGGAUGAAAUGAUACAACUUCUAACUCAAAGGUUGAAGCUAUUUGCAAUACGGCCAUUGAGCACUUCUGUUGUGAUUAAUGAUGGAUAUAUAUAUACAGCCCAAAAGCAGCGAGCGUAAGUACAAUAACUCGCUACUAUUCUGGUCAGUCGGUGAUGUUUGGGGACGUUAGCUCUGGAUAUGCGUUUGGUUUUCAAAUUCUAUUUCCUCUUAUCUUGGUUUUUUGUAGCAGCAUAUUUUUCUUGUAUCUUAUAAAUCCAAGUGACGUUACAAAUAUUGCAUCUCCUACAAGUAACGUCGACAGUCCAAAUAAUACACCUGAGAGUGAUCAUGAUUCAGCUAUAGUAAUAGGAUGAACGGCAUUAUUAUGUGUGUUUGCUCUUGCACGGUUGUUGUCUAUGUGCUAGGCUUGGAUAUUGCUGCUCUAUCGAGAAGUGCCGCUGUAACCAGAGUGAACAUUUUCCAUUGGUUCUCAGGUUUACGAGGGUACUAUGCUAGUGUGCAAUUAGGCAUCCCUUUCUUAAUGCUGAUUGAAGACCUUCUUCUUACGGCACUAACUAUUGCUUUUGUUUGUGUCAAGUUUUGUCUGUGUUGUGCUAAGGUUAGCAAUGCUUAUGUUCUUCUCGGUCCUGUCUCUUGCAUUAUUGUUCAUUCAUUUCAUAUUCUUGUUGGUUUCAUCCAUGCACCGUACCAUGCAACGAGCAUCUUGGUGCUGUAUUCUGUCGCUUUUUUUGUGUACAUUUUUGCUAUGAGAUCCACAUAUCACUGCUUAGGAAAAUGUGUUCAGAGCAAACCCUGUGUCAUACUAUGGUUAAUAGUGUUGUCUGUUAUCGUUUUUGCUGGCUUCGUAAUCAUAAUAUCUUCUUCUCCUGUUUGUGCCUAUCAACCUAGCUACUGAAGAUGGUCCCACUCGAAUCAACAGUAUUAACCAAACCAUUAUUGGCACUGAUUACUACGGCUGUGACCUAUAAACUGUUUUUCAAGCACGACAAACACGAACUUGUUCAGAUUCUCAUCAAUGCAAAAGAUAAAAUCGAGCCUGCCUGGAGAAAGAGACUGAAAAAGAGGAAA